rnacentral:rRNA from 1 species
GACGAACGCUGGCGGCGUGCCUAACACAUGCAAGUCGAACGGAAAGGCCCUGCGUUUGUGUGUUGCUCGAGUGUCGAACGGGUGAGUAACACGUGAGUAACCUGCCCCUUACUUUGGGAUCACUUCAGGAAACUGGGGCUAAUACCGGAUAGGAGCUCCUGCUGCAUGGUGGGCGUUGGAAAGUUUCGGCGGUUGGGGAUGGACUCGCGGCGUAUCAGCUUUUUGGUGGGGUAGUGGCUUACCAAGGCUUGGACGGGUAGACGGCCUGAGAGGGUGACCGGCCACAUCGCGACUGAGAUACGGCCCAGACGCGUACGGUAGGGAGCAGAGGAGAAUAGUGCAUAACGGGCGGAAGCCAGAUGCAGCACCGCCGCGUGCGGGAAGACGGGCUUCGGGUUGUAAACCGAUUUCGCCUGUGACGAAGCGAGAGUGACGGUAACGUGUAAAGAAGCACCGGCUAACUACGUG